ensembl:lncRNA
GAGGACCACAAAUGCAAAGCAAAAACUCAGAAUACGUGUGUCAAAAAAAGACAUGCAUCAUAUAACAUCAUAUAAUCACUAAGAAAAUAGGUAUUCCUGGAAGCACUCCUUGAUUCACUUCAUUUAGUAAAAAGAAGAAAAGAGGAAAAGAUUCCUAUUCCACUAUAAUUAAAGUAAUGAACAUGCCAUAUGUAUCUGCAGUCAUACAUGGAAAAGUCUGUGGGACUAGGACUGAGGAGGAUAAAAGAUUGGGACUGAGCACCAGAAGAGACAGAAAGAAACAAGAGAAUGAGAAAAGUUAUCUUGCAGAAUGAAUAAUUCUGGAAUAUUUUGGCCUGCUGCAUACUGAGGCUUUUGAAAUUGAUAUCCAUGCAUGUUACAACUUCUAUACUUUAUUCUGCUUAUGCCAGUUUUCUUAGCAGUUUUUACCUCUUACCAGAGCCAGAGGAUUCAGUUAUAAAAUUUUGACACUUGCAAACCUAGACGUGCUCAGAAGCCGCUGCAGCCUGUAAGACUUAACAACAGAUUUCUGGUCUGUAACUACAUGUGACAUUCUGUCUGAGAACAAAUUUCAGACCAAGACCUGUAUCUUUACCACCCAGAGCUUUUUUUAAUUGAUGAAAUCUGAUUUUCGUGGGUAUAGGAAGUGAUAUUGAUCAUCCAUUUCAGGCUACUAAGAAGUUAAAAAAUUGCUUUUCUGGGUAAUCAGGCAAACAAAGAAAGGUUCUCUGAUCAAAAUAUUAUCUUCUAUGAGCAUACAAGACAAGAAGCCUCCCACUAGAUUCCCCCUAGACUUCAUAUGCUAGUGCCUGCUCAGGCUGGAGUGAGGUUUCCUGCUUUCAUAGUGGCCAUCCAGGCAAUACCCAGUAGCUAGGCUCCAAGAGGAGAGCUACCCAGUAAAAACAGUUUGGUGUCCACAUUUUGGAGAUGAAGAGAUGAGGUAGGGCAUCAUACUGUGUUCUGUGGAUGUAGCUCCAGGUUUCUGUAUGCCCCUCUCUGCCCCUCUGACUGUGCAGGCUACGCCCCUUCUCAAACAGCAUCCACACACCACUGAUUUUCCAAGAGUGAAGAAUGAAGAGUGAAGUUUUGUUUUGUAGAAAAAUAAGCCAGUUUCAGAGAGAGGUUUGAUCCAGCCCUCAACAGUGUCUCUUAAGAAGUUCCUUUUAACCAAAAUAUCAAAAAUUCAAGGAAAAAAUGGCUAUGUAUUUCUACUGACGUAGUUUACAGCAAUGUGAAAGGACAGUUCGUAAAUUUCAUCAUCAUGGGACUUACUAAGGCUAAUACAUUUUUUUAGUAGCAAGUUGUUUAGACUGAGCAUUACAAAAUGUGCUGAAGCUAAAUGUGAAAUAUUCAAAUGGCUGACAACAGCCUCUUGGCCAUCUGACGUCAGAUCUCAUUACCCCAGAAAAUAUUAUAUUUGGGUCACAGGUGCCCAUAUGAGCAGCAUUUGGAUCCUCGUGGACUUCUAUUUUUUUGAAGGUGAGAUAUGAAAAUGUACACAAGAAGAAAAAGAUGUUCAGCAAAAACAUUCAACAAAAAGUCUGCAUAUGAGUGUUUCUUAUUGCUUUGUAUUUAACUUUGAGAUUCCCUCUAACUUCUGAAGAACAGAAGUGUUGAUUAAAGAAGAGAUUUCAGAAAAUUACGAAAAAGCUGUAGGAUCUGAUUCCCCUACAGUGCCCAUGAACAUUUUGAGGAUAAUAAAUCUUUAAACACAGUGAAAGUGAUGCA